UACAGAGGGUGCAAGCGUUAAUCGGAAUUACUGGGCGUAAAGCGCGCGUAGGUGGUUCGUUAAGUUGGAUGUGAAAUCCCCGGGCUCAACCUGGGAACUGCAUUCAAAACUGUCGAGCUAGAGUAUGGUAGAGGGUGGUGGAAUUUCCUGUGUAGCGGUGAAAUGCGUAGACAUAGGAAGGAACACCAGUGGCGAAGGCGACCACCUGGACUGAUACUGACACUGAGGUGCGAAAGCGUGGGGAGCAAACAGG
rnacentral:rRNA from 1 species